rnacentral:rRNA from 1 species
UACGGGGGGGGCAAGCGUUGCUCGGAAUCACUGGGCGUAAAGCGCACGUAGGCGGCUUUCUAAGUCAGGGGUGAAAUCCUGGAGCUCAACUCCAGAACUGCCUUUGAUACUGGAGAGCUUGAGUCCGGGAGAGGUGAGUGGAACUCCGAGUGUAGAGGUGAAAUUCGUAGAUAUUCGGAAGAACACCAGUGGCGAAGGCGGCUCACUGGCCCGGUACUGACGCUGAGGUGCGAAAGCGUGGGGAGCAAACAGG